UCCAAGCUGGGCCUGACUCUCCUUUAGAGAUGUCUUCGCCCACUUCUGAAGCAACCUAAGGGUUGGGAAACUACCCGAGCCUUAGGAAAACCUAAGGCAGCAGAGCUGGGAAAUUAGAAUAUUCUCUGCCGCUCUUCCUCUUAUGGCUAUGAUUGCUGGCGCCUCUAAUAGCCAUUUUGACCACGAGGCAACCUUGAAGAUGGAAACCACAAUGCUAAAGGUGAUGGAACGUAAAGAUAGUAGGAGGCUGACACCGUGACUCUUCUAUGGAUCCUGGACUACCUCACUCUGGAUUUCUUUCACACGAAGAGGAGAAAACCUUAUGCCAUCACUGCUAAUUUCCAGACCCUACUACUAGCAGUCACAUAUAAUUCCUAAUGGAUACAGAUGACUUCCCCAACCCAUGAGUAGUGCUCUUGUUUCUUUGCAGUUAGCUCCUGGAAAUUCUGUCUAUUGGUCCACACUGAUUCACAAGCCCCUGCAAGAGCAAAGUUGGACUCCGCUUCUGCUAAUGAGCAGAGGAAUCACCUGUGAAUACAAUGCUGGGAUUAUAAGGUGCUGGCAGUCAUGUCAGAAUAAUAAGGUCAGAUGGAAAAUCAUCCUAGUAAAUAUCUUCAGUGAAUAUCCUGUCCCACCCUGGUGCCCUCCAGAUACCAUAGCCUGGAUCCACAGCUCAUGUGGUGGCAUUGCCAUCACUUCCCCAGAGCCUAUCAUUUGUGUCCGCGGGGAGGAUGAUGAGGGUCCUGGGUACCGCUCCAAAGUUUUCUCUGCGUAUUCAGCAGGGGCCCUUGAUUUGUUCUGACUUGUAACUGAAAUCCUUGUUUGUUUGAGUUUCUUUUCCCUAGCAAGUUCAUCUAUAAUCUCAAAGAUGUCGCUGUAGUUUGCUUUGCUAAUCUCAACCUUUGGCUGAGUGACAUGUUGUCCUCGAAGAGGCUCAGAGACACGCGGACACUCCCUCGAUGCACUGUGUCUCUCUAUUAUGGGAUUUUCCUUUUGACUGUUUGCCUGGGCCCCGUAGCGCGGCCCUCACCUUUCACAUAGUUUUAAGUCUGAGUUUCAGGGGAAGAUUUCAGAAAGAUCUCUGUAAUCCCCUAACUCGUUCUCAUCACAGAGAUAGUUCAUUUUUCAGUGAUAUUUUGGAGCAUUCCUAGAGCUAAAAAAAAAAAAAAAAAAAAAAUCCCGGGAAAAUUUAAGGCAGCAGAGCUGGGAAAGCAGAAUAUUUUCU